UUAGCUGAAAAUCGCAUUGAUUGGUCC
rnacentral:sRNA from 1 species